rnacentral:rRNA from 1 species
AUUGAACGCUGGCGGCAGGCCUAACACAUGCAAGUCGAGCGAGCGGCGGACGGGUGAGUAAUGUCUGGGAAACUGCCUGAUGGAGGGGGAUAACUACUGGAAACGGUAGCUAAUACCGCAUACCAUCAGAUGUGCCCAGAUGGGAUUAGCUAGUAGGUGGGGUAACGGCUCACCUAGGCGACGAUCCCUAGCUGGUCUGAGAGGAUGACCAGCCAGCCGGGAACUGAGACACGGUCCAGACUCCUACGUGAGUCAGCAGUGGGGAAGAUGGCACCAUGGGCGCUAGCCUCAUGCAGCCAUGCCGCGUGUGUGAAGAAGGCCUUCGGGUUUUAAAGCACUUUCAGCGUGGAGGCGUUACCCGCAGAAGAAGCACCGGCUAACUCCGUGCCAGCAGCCGCGGUAAUUC